ACAGAGUCCGCGAAGCCCAUGAAGCAGCCCAAGAAGGAAAAUACGGAAUUGCCCUACUACGGAGACGUUUUGCCUGACAGUGUCAAGUUCAAAUGUCGAGCUAUAU